AUACGUAGGUCCCGAGCGUUGUCCGGAUUUAUUGGGCGUAAAGCGAGCGCAGGCGGUUUAAUAAGUCUGAAGUUAAAGGCAGUGGCUUAACCAUUGUUCGCUUUGGAAACUGUUAGACUUGAGUGCGGAAGGGGAGAGUGGAAUUCCAUGUGUAGCGGUGAAAUGCGUAGAUAUAUGGAGGAACACCGGUGGCGAAAGCGGCUCUCUGGUCUGUAACUGACGCUGAGGCUCGAAAGCGUGGGGAGCAAACAGGAUUAGAUACCCUGGUAGUCCACGCCGUAAACGAUGAGUGCUAGGUGUUAGGCCCUUUCCGGGGCUUAGUGCCGCAGCUAACGCAUUAAGCACUCCGCCUGGGGAGUACGACCGCAAGGUUGAAACUCAAAGGAAUUGACGGGG
rnacentral:rRNA from 1 species